rnacentral:rRNA from 1 species
UACGUAGGGUGCAAGCGUUAAUCGGAAUUACUGGGCGUAAAGCGUGCGCAGGCGGUUAUGUAAGACAGAAUGUGAAAUGCCCGGGCUUAACCUGGGAACUGCAUUUGUGACUGCAUGGCUAGAGUUUGGCAGAGGGGGGUAGAAUUCCACGUGUAGCAGUGAAAUGCGUAGAUAUGUGGAGGAACACCGAUGGCGAAGGCAGCCCCCUGGGUCAAGACUGACGCUCAUGCACGAAAGCGUGGGGAGCAAACGAGG